UUGGGGACAUCUAGGGGAUAGCAAGACAGAAGGCAGCGGAAGUUAAGGUAAGACACUCAGGAAAGACUCAAGCCACUUUAUUUAUAUUGUGUUUGAUUUUGUGCUUAAGAGACUGUUAAAUUGCAUUGGGGAAGUGUGGCUGCUAAGUCUAUUUGGUCUUCACUUGAGUCCCCAAACUCUGUAAAUAAAUCCAGAUCCCCAGAGAGGACUUUCUCCUGCUUAAAUGUAGAUUCCUAGUAAGCUAUAAUCCCCUUCCAUUGGCCGUGAGCCUUCUACAGACUAAAUUUAGAAAACUUAAAUUACAACCUAGCAAUGUGGCUCCCCAAAUGAAAUGUAUAGGGCAGAGUACCCAAAAACACCAGGGAAAAUGGUAGUCACAGGGACGUGUCAGGGACCUGGUGGUCAGUCUUACAUGUCUGCAAUCAGAAAGGCAAAGGUCCUAUUCACGUAGAAAGAAAUAGAAUAGUGGGAACCAAUUUAGAACCAUCAGAACAAUGACCUGGGAGACGAGCCUCAUUCUAAUUAUGACUCCGUGUUCCAACCAGGCAUGAAGGAAGUCACAGUAAACCUAUUUCUGAGAAAGGCAUUGCCCAAUGUGGCGAUGUCCGCUAUCUUAUGUGGGGUGAGGGCCAGUGAGUCAGGGAGGAAACAUACCAGAAAAUGAUCUUCGAUGACUAACACAGAAGCGGCUGUUCUCAUGUUGCCCUGAUGGAAAAAUUGGUGGGAUUGCAGGAAUUAAUAAGAACUAUCAGCCCUGCUUGGAUAUUCUGUCCUAAAAUGGUGACAUUUCUGGAGGCUGGGAAGUCCAAGAUCAAGGUGCUUGGUGAUUCGAUGUCUGGUGAGAGCCCACCUGCUGGUUUGUAACAGCAGCCUUCUUGCUGUGUCCUUACUCGCUGGAAGAACAAGAGAGCGCUGUGGCAUCUCUUUUAUAAGGGGCUAAUCCCAUUUGUGAGAGCUCUGCCUUCAUGACCCAAUCACCUUCCAGAAGUCUCACCUCCCCAUCAUAAUGGAGAACAGCUUUCAACAUACGAAUUUGGGGAGGACACAUUUUGUCUAUAGAUAGCACAGAUGUGAUGGUGUUAGGAGGUGACGUCUUUGGGAGGUGAGAACGUCGUGAGGGUUGAGCCGGCAGGAAUGGGGUCAGCGUCCUGAUAAAGAAACCCUUGCUCCUCUCCUAUGAUGUGAGGACACAGCAAGAAGAUGGCCAUCUGAGAGCCAAGAAUCGGGCUCUCACCAGAUACCGAAUCUGCCAGCCCCCCUGAUCUUGGACUCACCAGCCUCCCGAACCACGAACAAUAAAUAUUUGCCGUUUAA